rnacentral:lncRNA from 1 species
GCGGACACCAAGACAAUACAUGAACCUCACACGACCCCUCGACACAGGUGAGCUUAUAUAUGAUCUUAUAGCGAUUCGGGUUGAUAGCCAGUUGAAAUUAAGCCAGUUUUUGUGUGUGUGUAGAUUUGUAUUGUUUUAUAAAAAAAGAAGAUGUGGUAUGAUUGCAAAUGAGACAACUAUCCACAAAAGACCAUAAUGACACAGACAUUAACAACUAUAGGUCACCGUACGGCCUUCAACAAUGAGCAAAGCCCAUACCGCAUAGUCAGCUAUAAAAGGCCCCGAUAAGACACUGUAAAACAAUUCAAACGAGAAAACUAACGGCCUUAUUUAUGUAAAAAAAAAAAUAAU